AGACUUCUGUAUCGGUGAUGAGAUUUCGUCACACACCAGACCAAAAGGAUUGAUGAUACUCCCAAGAUUAGUGAAGUG
rnacentral:pre_miRNA from 1 species